rnacentral:misc_RNA from 1 species
UUUCCGUAGGUGAACCUGCGGAAGGAUCAUUAAUGAGUUGUCAUGGGGUUCGAUGCUGGCAGCCAAUUUUUGGAUGCAUGUGUUUGCCCUAACAAUCAUCUUCCAAACACCUGUGCACAUUUUUGAGGGAGUCUUGAGUUGGUUGCCGCUCUUGGGUGAUUUUCUCACAUUCCCUUAAAUCAUUAUACGCUAUUAACAAUGUUGAACGUGCUCUGUGCCGCAAGGCUAUUAAUAUAAUACAACUUUUAACAACGGAUCUCUUGGCUCUC